GUGCUGGCUUCGGCAGCAUGUAUUAUAGAAUUGGAACGAUACAGGGAAGAUUAGCGUGGUCCCAUGCAAGGACGGCACUCAAGAAUGAGGACAGAGGACAGGUGUG